rnacentral:rRNA from 1 species
GACGAACGCUGGCGGCGUGCCUAAUACAUGCAAGUCGAACGCAGUGGGGACGGGUGAGUAACACGUGGGUAACCUCCCAUCAGAGGGGAUAACACUUGGAAACCGGUGCUAAACCGUUACUGAUGGAUGGACCCGCGGUGCAUUAGCUAGUUGGGGAGGUAACGGCUCACCAAGGCCACGAUGCAUAGCCGACCUGUGGUGGGGUCGUGCACAGCGGGAACUGUGAAAAGGCGCAAGAGAGUACGGGAGUGGGCAGUAGGGAAGGUUGGGGAGUGGACGAAAGUCUGAACAAUGGACGGCGCGUGGGGUAGGAAGGAUGAAAGUUCUUAAAACUCUUUUGUUAUAGAGACGGAAUAUAACCAGAAAGCCACGGGUGACGGCGUGCUAGCAGCCGCGGUAAUAC